GAGACCACUUCUGCACCUCCUACGAUAAUACUGGGUAAAUACAGAGAUUAGCACGGCCCCGGCAGAGGCAUGGCUCGCAAACUCAUGAAGUGUUCCACAUGAAA
rnacentral:snRNA from 1 species